GGCGCCCGGCUAGGCGCGCGGGGUGGUCGGCGCUGGGGAAGGCGCGGGUGCGUGGGGGUGUCCUGGCGCGAGGGCGUCGCGGUCGCGCGCGAGGCUCCCGGAGCUGUCAGGGGCGGCAGACUGACCACACAGCCCAGCAAACCUCGCCUGUCCGCCUCGGCCCGGCUGGGCCGCGGGCACCGAGGCGCCCAGCAGCGUUUCCCGAAGGACCAAUCCCGAGCUGGGGGCCGGCUCAGGGACCGGGCAAGGAGGGCCGGCCGGGCGCUGGGACGCGGGCCUGGACCUGGUAGGCCGGUUUCUAUGGCAGCCAGGAGGGAGGGGCUGGAGAGAGAAGGGCGUGCGGCGCAGGGACACCCAUUGCAGACUCUCCGGGAGGGGGUUCGGGCCUGCAGCAGAGAGGAUUCCUCCCAGAGAGUGGAUGGAAAGCGGCGACACAGCAGCCAGAGGGUUGACACAGCUCGUUAUCAGUUUAAGUGCGCUGAGCCACUUCAGCUCUUGAGCGAGGCUUCUGGUGUCCUUGGGAGACCGCAACACAGUAAUCCUCCCAACCGAUCGGGAGUUUCUGGCAAAGCACUAUGACAGUUUCUCCGGGUUUGGAUAUUGGACAAAUCUUAGAAGAGGAUAUCAAUCAAAUUUUUCUAAAACUGCACAACUGUUACAAAGUUGGAUCUACAACUGGAAAGGGGCCAACUUGUCCCAGGAAAAUGUGUUGUAUUUACCUUGUUCAGGAUCUGUAUCCUACCCAAGUCUGAGAACUCAUGUCUUUCAACAAUUCAGAAAUAUUUCCAGAUAAUAUCUUUGAACAUGAAAGAUACGUCUUAGUUUGGGUUGCUAUAGAAAAUUACCACAGAUUGGGUGAUUUAACCAGCAAACAUCUACUUAUAGUUCUGGAACUAGAAGUCUGAGAUCAGGGUGUCAACACAGUCAGGGGCUGCCAAGGGCCCUCUUAUGGGUUGCAGACUGCCAACUUCUUAUCAUAUCCUCACGCAGCAGAAGGCAAAAUGAGAGAGCCUACUGAAAUCUUUUGUAAGGGCAUUAAUCCUGUUCAUAAGAUUAGUUCCACCCUCAUGACCUAAUUACCUCCCAAAGCCCCACCUCCUGGUACCAUCGGAUUGGGAGUUAGGAUUUCAACAUAUGAAUUUUCUGGAGGAGGGGGGACACAAACAUUUAGUCCAUACAGACCCCUUCCCAAGUUUUGUUUUUCUUUCAGGAGCUCCCACUGGACAUUACGUGUGUCAGAACUCAUUCUGUCUCAUCCUUUCUCAUGUUCUGUAGAUUUUUACCUUGACUGCUACAUUCUAGGAACCUUUUAGGAACUAAUAUUUCCUAAAAUAUGAUGAUGAAACAUUUAUCUGAAGUUUAGAAGUUUAUUAUGCUUUUCUUUUUAUUUCUGUUAAAUUCAAGCAAAAUUAAA